rnacentral:rRNA from 1 species
UACGAAGGGGGCAAGCGUUAAUCGGAAUUACUGGGCGUAAAGGGUGCGUAGGCGGUUGGUUAAGUCUGUCGUGAAAUCCCCGGGCUCAACCUGGGAAUGGCGAUGGAUACUGGGCAGCUAGAGUGUGUCAGAGGAUGGUGGAAUUCCCGGUGUAGCGGUGAAAUGCGUAGAGAUCCGAAAGAACACCGGAGGCGAAGGCGGCUGGCUGGGCCGGGUCUGACGCUGAGGUGCGAAAGCGUGGGGAGCGAACAGG